AGUGAACGCUGGCGGUAGGCCUAACACAUGCAAGUCGAACGGCAGCACAGGAGAGCUUGCUCUCUGGGCGGCGAGUGGCGGACGGGUGAGGAAUACAUCGGAAUCUACUCUGUCGUGGGGGAUAACGUAGGGAAACUUACGCUAAUACCGCAUACGACCUACGGGUGAAAGCAGGGGACCUUCGGGCCUUGCGCGAUUGAAUGAGCCGAUGUCGGAUUAGCUAGUUGGCGGGGUAAAGGCCCACCAAGGCGAAGAUCCGUAGCUGGUCUGAGAGGAGGAUCAGCCACACGGGAACUGAGACACGGUCCAGACGCCUACGGGAGGCAGCAGUGGGGAAUAUUGGACAAUGGGCGCAAGCCUGAUCCAGCCAUACCGCGUGGGUGAAGAAGGCCUUCGGGUUGUAAAGCCCUUUUGUUGGGAAAGAAAUCCAGCUGGCUAAUACCCGGUUGGGAUGACGGUACCCAAAGAAUAAGCACCGGCUAACUUCGUGCCAGCAGCCGCAGUAA
rnacentral:rRNA from 1 species